CAACAACAACAAAAACAUAUGGAUGAAUUCUACAUCCAUACAUGUGAGAGAGGCUGGUCUGUGUGAGAGAUAAAAUUGGAGGCUUCUGAUGCCUCACACCAGUGCCUUCUCCAGACUUCUCACAAGGGUCCAAAGCAGAGGAAGGAGAAGCUGUCAUGGGUCACAAGCAUGAUGCUGCUCUAAGAUAUCCAGGGAGGGGAGAGGCAGUUGGGAGAGCCAUAUGACAAGGUGUGAAUGAUGAGCCCAGAGGCAGGUACUGGUCAGGAGACAGCCCUCUCCCUGGACACCAAAGGCUGAGCUCACAGCCAGCCUGCUCACAGGGUUGGGAGCUGAUGGACUAUGGCAGGCAGCAUGAUUUAGUCCAGGCUGUCCUGGCAUGCUCCCUACCUCUGAGGGAGGAAGACAAAUGAAGAGAAACUGGGGCAGUAGGUCAUUUCUUCCUCCCAGGUCUGUCCUUGGAGACCCUCUAGGGAAAGCAACACAUGCCCAAGACAGACGGACAGAGGUCUAAGUGGGACUCCAGGGAAGGGGUGCUUUAAAUAAGCCCUGGUUCUUAGCCUUGAUUGGUAGGAAAAGUUACUGAGCUCUUUCAUGAAUCCUUUGGGCUGCUAAACAGCCCUUCCUAGGCUGCUGUCCCAACAAACACCAGGCUAGCCCUCUCCUUCCUUACCUAGCUCACACAUACCCCAGAACACCUGCAAGGGUCUGUCCCCAGAUCUCACCAUAACUGAACAUAAGUGGGUGCACUGGGAGACCCCCCCCCACGCCUCCCUGACCCUUCAACCUAUCUGAUCAUGCUGUUUCUCAGAGUUUCAUAAAAGAUCUGGGGAAACAGAAGCUUAAGUUAUGAAAGUCAAGUGCAACUGAAUGCCGGCUACACACAGGGACCUAGGCUGGGCAGGGUAGUCCCAAGACAGGUUGCAGCCUGGAAAGAUGGGCUCUGACCACAGGAAGGGACUCUGUGGGAAAGGUGAGUCAUGAGGCUGAGGGGACUCAAAGCAGAAGUCCCUGAUUCAGAGAGAGGAUCCACAAAUGAGGAAGUGAUUGUUUCAUUUACUCAGGGCUGUCAAGUUAAGGGUGUCUUCGGCAAUCAGCAAUGGGGAAAAAGGAAGAAUCAACAGCCACCGAGGCAAGGAGGUGGAGCAGGUCCAACAGUACAGGAGGAUGACGGAUGGCUGGGACUAAUCCAUUCCAGGGCUCAGCACUGACCAGUAACACACAGCGAUAUGUCAUCAAAUUCUCACCCCCACCAGCAGCCCUUCCUAACUUGCUCUUCCAGCAAAUACCUGCCCAUCACAUCCACUUCCUUCCCCUACCAUGCUCACCUCCAUCCCUAAGCCUUGUUCUGUUGUCUUCAUAGCAUGCUACUCUAUAUAUCUGUGAUGUCUGAUUUAAUGCAUGGCUCCUUAGCCAUCCCUGGCCUGUCAUAGCUGGUCCCCAACUUCAGCAAGUGAUUCAAGCACAGAGGUGUUCGAUGAAUAUUCACUGAGCUGCUUGUUCACAGUAGGAGCCUAGGUCCCUGUGCUUUACUAACAGGCACAAAGCAUCUGACCACUCGGAGUUGCUGCUUCAGGAGAUGCACCCAGGGCCUGGAUGGUCCAAGGGCAGAGCGUCUAAGGGAGCGUCUCAGUGUUCACGCUGUCUGGAUGAGGUGACCGCAGCAGUGAGAGAUAAUCCACUGACUGUGUGCAUACUCUGCUAGCAGUCUGGAGGUCUGGUGGGGCUUGCAGUGUAUAGAUUGAUGCAAUUUCCUUAGCACCAACUGCUGUGGAAAACAGCCGGUUACUUCCUCCUCCAGCAGCCCACAAUCAACUUCAGCAGGGCCACGGCAGGCCCCUUUCUACUGACCACACAGGCUUUCAGCUACCCAUAGGGGCUGGUUAGUCUGUGAUCCCUUUAGAGAAGUGGGAGGCAAAACUGGGACCCAGAGUCCUUACAGAAUUCUUAGGUUCCACCCGUUUCCUUAGCAUUAAACCAAUCACUGUGCCUUUGCUCCAAGCCAGCAUUGAACCUCUAUUCCUUUCACACCACCCUUGCACAAAGUUCCCACAAGAUCCUUGAGGUGCAAAUACUGCUCGUUUGACAGACCAGAACGCCUUUUGGGGCAAAGUCAAAGCCCCGAAAGCCAUGGUUAUUUCUGCUAGCCGCUCACAACAGUUUCUAAAAUUUAAAAAAUGGUAACUAUG
rnacentral:sRNA from 1 species